rnacentral:lncRNA from 7 species
AUAGACUUUCUUCUACUGCUCUGGUAGAGCAUCUACUGCAUUCUUCAGCAUGGCCCGUGGCAAUUAUAAUCUGUUCAGGCAGUAAUCAGAGACUGCCAGUUUCUACUCCAGUGCCUUGUUAAGUCCUAUAGAAAUUGAUGAAAUAUAGUAAGAGAGAAUGUCCUUCACUGCCAGGCAAUGCAGCACUGAAUCUGGUGUUUCUUCACACACUGAGCCCUACAGGCUUCAGAAUGAUGUAAUGUGCCUUCACAUUUUCUGUGAUCACUCAAUUAAGAUUGAAAUAUUUAGUUCCCAACUAUCUCUUGUUUAUGAGGAGAAAAAAUCACCCUGGAUUGACAACUGGUGCUAGGACACACAUCACCGCACUUUUCUUGGAAGGACGUUAUGGUAUAAUUGCUAUGCCUCAAUAACAUUGGCAGCUCUGUAAGCACAGUUUGGCUUUUGCAGGGCUGGAAGAUACUCAUCCUAUGCUGAGAAAGGACAGAACUUAAUACAAACCGUAAGCACGCAUGCUGAAAUAAAGAGAAAGAAAUGCCUACCAGAACGUUUUCCAGUUAGUCAACAAAUAUUUUUUAAUAAAUCAGAAGUCUGCUCCAGCUCAGGCAAAUAUUUACUGUGAAUCCAGACAGCACAGCUGGCUCACAUAUUCACAUUGUUCCAGAGACAUUUAACAUACCAUUAUUUGUAGCCACUUCUCAACAAAUUCGCAAAGUGGUGAAUGGAACUGAAUAAUUAGCACAGUACACAAAGCACCUUUGCGGCAAAAAGAAAACACAUUCAAUCUUUCCUCUGCUCCUGUUUCAAGUGGUCUAGGUUUGCCUACAUACUGCAGGAGAGUAAUGUCUUCUGACUUCUGCAUACCCCUCAGGACAUCCAGUGUGCUACGGACAAGAGGUACUUUUGUUCUGAGUGAAGACUGGCAGCACAAAUUGUUCUUCAAGAAAUAUUUGUACAGAGCUGGGUGUAAUGGCACAACAGUGACUCAUGUCUGCUGGGAGCUCUCCAGAAACAGAGAAGAUGGCAUUAAGAGCGCUUAAACCAUCUCUUUCAUAUGAAGAGUUAAUAACAAAUCUGGAGAUUCAUAAUCAAAAUCAAGAGUGGUGUAUACAGUAUAUUCUUGCAAGAGCUAAGUGAUUCUCCCCAGAGAAUCUACAGUUUUACAGUGGGUUACCUGUCUGGCUGUUUUAAACACAUCAGCCUCAUUCCUUUCCUUUAUUUUUUGUAGCAUUUUAGCACAGCACCCUACCCCACUGUGCAAUAAUAAUAAUAAUAAAAAAGUGGUUGUUGUAAAACCAAAUCUUUUUAAAAGUAACUUUGUUAGAAAGGAAAUACCUGCUGGAUUGUAAAGUCUGAACAACAUCUUCUGCUGGACCGUAUUAAAUAAAGACAUUUGCCAAAAGGGUGG